CCAAACGCAUAACCAAAAACAUAAUUCAUGCAAAAACUCCAACAUAGAUAGUGAAACUCAACACUAGGAACAAAAAAACUUCACGUACACGUUUCACGAGUUCCGACGCAACAACACUUACUUUCAAAUCAUCUCUACUUUCUUGUGUGGUUGUUCGUUUCAGUUGCAGGUGAACAUAAUCAUACUUAUCGAACUAUUGGAGCGGAUAACAUAAAGAGAUUUGUCUCGUUAAGAGGUGUGUGUAUUUUAUAAAGUGUAUGUAUAAGUGUCUAACUUCUUUUUUUUGGUAACUUGCAGGACAUAAAUGUUGUUGAUCGACCUAUUUCAUUAGCGUACACAGAUAAAAACUGUUCAGGACUCUCUUAAAAAAGUAAGCUCUGUAGAAGCUAGUUUUUUGUUUAUCUAAUGAAUGGUCUUUGGUACAUGUAGUGUUUCGUGUCCCUGAGAUUACUUGAUUUUCUAAAUACUUUUUUGUCUAUUUCUCCAUUUCAGAGCUAACAACAACACUUGUGCAUAACAGCAUAACGGUUAAGGUGUUAAACUGUACGAUUAUGUAUCUCUGGUUGUUGUUGACUUACUAAUAAAGGUCAUUGCCAGUGUAGCAUGCAUUAACCUGUCUUCUUCUUCAAGAGAAAUGCAAAUAUGCUAUAUAGUUCAAAAUGCUUUCCCGUAGAUGAGGAUGGUUCAUAAGAAAGAGUAAAAGUUUGUGAUGCUACCAAACAUGACCACUGACCAGGUAACUGUUUUUUAUAAAUUGUCUUUUUAAUUUAUGAUUCUGGUUUCACUGAUCAAGAAUUAUGGUUUGUCUUUUUGACAGAAUCUCAUUUCAUUUUUAUUUUGCAGAAUUCGAAAAUCUCAAGAGGAAUGCAAACAGAAAAAUAUAGACAUUCACGGCACAAUCUCUGAUGAAUUUUCCACCACCAUUCAAGGCGGUGUGCUAUGUUUUCAUCUCUACUGUGUAUUCUGAAUCUUGAUUCAUACUAAAACUCACACUUAUCCAUGUUCUCUUCUUAAUAUGCAGUUGACGCCAUAACUAGAAAGUGAAAAGGUUUGAACUGGUGAUCCUAGUUCUGCAACACCAUUUCCUAGUGAAGGUACCUAAAAUUAUCAAAUCAAGUCUCUGUAAAUUAUUUUUUCUCAACCAGACAAUAAGUACUCAUAUCUGUAAUUUCCCUGAAGGAUAAUUUUGUUGAUGAGCGAGCUUGUUUCUGUCUUUCUUGCUGUGAGAUGAAUCUUAGUUCAAGUGGGUUACAAAAUACCAAUAGCCUUCUCAUGUAGACAUCUCUCCCUUCUUGAGUCAUUGUAAGCAUAUAGAGAGGUUUUACGUUUGACAGACAUUUGAUAAUGAAUUUGUCUCUGACAAUUAUAUAUGUCACAGGAAUUUGAAAGGAAAUAACUUGACUGCUGGUGGACUUGCACUGCCACUAAGGUACAUUUUCUUGUCAAAACCACGGAAACAUAGUUAACUUUUUUAAAAUACAAACUGUGUCUCUAUCAUUUUCUGAAGCUUGUUAAUUUUUUGACGAAUGUGAAACUUUGUCCAGGUUUAACACUUGAAAGUUGGCUGUUGUUGUUUUUGGUUUACUUAAUUUUGUAAUCUUAUUUGCUCUGUGUUUACUCAUAGUUACAGACUUUAUUGAUAAGGUGCUUCGAUUUCAAGAGAAGGAAUCUUUAAGCUGCAAAGACAAGUUUGGAGGACCAUACAAGGGUUAAGG
rnacentral:lncRNA from 1 species